rnacentral:rRNA from 1 species
AUUGAACGCUGGCGGCAUGCUUUACACAUGCAAGUCGAACGGUAACAGGCCGCAAGGUGCUGACGAGUGGCGAACGGGUGAGUAAUGCAUCGGAACGUGCCCAGUCGUGGGGGAUAACGCAGCGAAAGCUGCGCUAAUACCGCAUACGAUCUGUGGAUGAAAGCGGGGGACCUUCGGGCCUCGCGCGAUUGGAGCGGCCGAUGUCAGAUUAGGUAGUUGGUGGGGUAAAGGCUAACCAAGCCGACGAUCUGUAGCUGGUCUGAGAGGACAACCAUCCACACUGGGGAUGAGACACGGCCCAGACUCCUACGGGAGGCAGCAGUGGGGAAUUUUGGACAAUGGGGGCAAUCCUGAUCCAGCAAUGCCGCGUGCAGGAAGAAGGCCUUCGGGUUGUAAACUGCUUUUGUACGGAACGAAAAGGCUCUGGUUAAUACCUGGGGCACAUGACGGUACCGUAAGAAUAAGCACCGGCUAACUACGUGCCAGCAGCCGCAGUAAAAC